rnacentral:rRNA from 1 species
CGCAAGCCUGACGGAGCAAGACCGCGUGGGGGAGGAAUGCCUUAGGGUUGUAAACCCCUUUUAUCUGGGAAGAACAAAAUGACGGUACCAGAUGAAUAAGCCUCGGCUAACUCCGUGCCAGCAGCCGCGGUAAUACAGAGGAUGCAAGCGUUAUCCGGAAUCACUGGGCAUAAAGCGUCUGUAGGUGGUUUGAUAAGUCUGCUGUUAAAGACUAGGGCUUAACCCUAGGAAAGCAGUGGAAACUAUUAGACUUGAGUAUGGUAGAGGUAGAGGGAAUUCCUAGUGUAGCGGUGAAAUGCGUAGAUAUUAGGAAGAACACCAAUGGCGAAAGCACUCUGCUGGGCCACAACUGACACUGAGAGACGACAGCUAGGGGAGCA